CCUGUUUAACAAAAACAUGUCUUUUUGAGUUAUUUUAAAAGUCUGACCUGCCCACUGAAAUUAUUUAAAUGGCCGCAGUAUUCUAACUGUGCAAAGGUAGCAUAAUCAUUAGUCUUUUAAUUGAAGGCUGGUAUGAACGGUUGGACGAGGUAUAAGCUGUUUCAUAUAAAUUUAUAAUAGAAUUUUAUAUUUUAGUCAAAAAGCUAAAAUUUAAUUAAAAGACGAGAAGACCCUAUAAAUCUUUAUAUUCUAAGUUGUUUAAAUUUUUUAGAUUAAUUUUAUUUUUAUAAUUUAGAGUAUUUUGUUGGGGUGAUAUUAAAAUUUAAUGAACUUUUAGUUGUUAAAAAUCAUUAAUUUAUGAGUUAUUGAUCCAUUAAUAGUGAUUAUAAGAUUAAGUUACUUUAGGGAUAACAGCGUAAUUUUUUUGGAGAGUUCAUAUCGAUAAAAAAGUUUGCGACCUCGAUGUUGGAUUAAGAUAUAUUUUUAGGUGUAGCCGCUUAAAU
rnacentral:rRNA from 1 species